rnacentral:rRNA from 1 species
GUAGGCAGCAAGCGUUGUUCGGAAUUACUGGGCGUAAAGAGUGUGUAGGCGGUGUUCUAAGUUUGUCGUGAAAUCUCCCGGCUUAACUGGGAGGGUGCGGCGAAAACUGGAAUGCUAGAGGAUGGGAGAGGUAAGCGGAAUUCCUGGUAUAGCGGUGAAAUGCGUAGAUAUCAGGAGGAACACCUGUGGUGUAGACAGCUUACUGGACCAUUUCUGACGCUGAGACACGAAAGCGUGGGUAGCAAACAGGAUUAGAUACCCUGGUAGUCCACGCCCUAAACGAUGCAUACUUGGUGUGAGCGAUUCAUUUCGUUCGUGCCGGAGCUAACGCGUUAAGUAUGCCGCCUGGGGAGUACGGUCGCAAGGCUG